rnacentral:rRNA from 1 species
UGAGUAAUACAUAAGUAACCUGCCCUAGACAGGGGGAUAACUAUUGGAAACGAUAGCUAAGACCGCAUAGGUACGGACACUGCAUGGUGACCGUAUUAAAAGUGCCUCAAAGCACUGGUAGAGGAUGGACUUAUGGCGCAUUAGCUGGUUGGCGGGGUAACGGCCCACCAAGGCGACGAUGCGUAGCCGACCUGAGAGGGUGACCGGCCACACUGGGACUGAGACACGGCCCAGACUCCUACGGGAGGCAGCAUG